UGAUUUUGUGGUAGAUGGAAUUGGAAAGGAACUUUGGACCAAAACAAAGGUGCUACAGGGCCCAUGCAAGUCUGAAAUCCAAUAGGGCAGUCAUUAAACCCUGCAGUUCCAAAAUCAUCUUCUUUGACUCCAUGUCUUACAUCCAGGGCACACUCAUGCAAGAGGUGGUCUCCCAUGGCAUUGGGCAUCUUCACACCUGUGGCUUUGCAGGAUACAGCCUACCUCCUGGCUGCUUUCAUGGGCUGGUGUUGAGUGUCUGUGGCUUUUCUAGGCACACGGUGCAAGUUGUGUGUGGAUCUACCCUUCUGGGUUCUAGAAGACAGUGGCCUUCUUCUCACAGCUCCACUAGGCAGUGUCCCAGUGGGGACUUUCUGUGGGGGCUCCAACCC
rnacentral:lncRNA from 1 species